rfam:Lachnoclostridium sp. An131 An131_contig_10, whole genome shotgun sequence.
ACGACAAACUCUGGAGAGUCUCAGUAAAUGAGCGCCGAAGGUGUAACACAGAAGGAGUACGGCUGGUGCCAAAAGAGCAGAAAGCCGGAAGAGCUUCUGUCUAUCUCUCAGGCAAAAGGACAGGGCUGGAAAU